GAGGGGGGGGAGGGAGAGAGAGGACAUUGGAGCGAAGAGGAAGCAGAUUUGCAGGAUGGUAGGAGAAGAUCUCAGGUGGGGGAUAACCCCGAUGGUUCCGACAGUGGGAUCCUUUUGUGCCCGAAUAUGUGUGAAGUUGUGCGCACAUUGUGGGCAUAUGUACGUACACACGGGCGUUCGGUAUCUUCACACGUCGAAAAUGUGUUCGCGGCGUGCGAACAUUCGUAGAUUUUAACUGACCACGCUCCGAUUUAUUCGCAAGUCACGUGCGAUCGACACGUGCGGUCGCCGUUCGCUCGUGAAGUCACGUCAACACCGAGCCGAAGUCUCCACGCGGCAUGGACAUCGGAAUGUUGCUCCUCGUGCUCGUGAGCGUCCUCACUUCCAGCUGCUCCGGCGCCGGUGACUUCGAUCUGGGCACGAUUGUCUUCGCGAACGUCUUGUACAGACAUGGAGAUAGAACUCCUAUUGCGCCUUACACGAACGAUCCUUAUAAGAAUGAAUCGUUGUGGCCGGUUCCAUUUGGACAAUUAACAAAUAUUGGGAAAAACCAACACCUACUUCUCGGAUGCUGGCUAAGGAAACGAUACUCUGGUUUUUUAAGCGAUGUUUACACGCCAUAUGACAUUUACGUUCAAAGUACGGACGUAGAUCGUACCCUAAUGUCAGCCGAGGCGAAUCUCGCAGGUCUUUAUCCACCGGUGAAGAACGAAAUAUGGGACAACAACAUUUAUUGGAUACCGAUCCCUGUGCAUACCAUACCGGCACAGGAAGAUUAUGUGCUAAAGGCGAGCAAGUAUUGCCCGCGAUACAAAUACGAGUUGGAAAAGCUCUUAACAUCACCGGAAAUGGAAAAUAUAAAAAAAGCAAACGCGAAGCUCUUUGCCUACUUAACUAAGCACAGCGGGGAAAAUAUAAAUUCGAUUAGAGCAGUUGAACAUCUAUAUGAUAAUUUAUAUAUUGAGACAUUGUACAACAAAACUCUACCGCAGUGGACGAAAUCGGUGUUUCCAGAAGAGUUAAAACCUCUCGCUAUACUUAGUUUCAUGAUUGAGGCUUAUAAUAAGAUACUUCAAAGAUUAAAAGCAGGUCCACUACUUGGAGAAAUGAUAGAUCACAUGGUCAAGAAAACACAACAUACCUUACAACCUGAUAGAAAGAUAUGGAUAUACAGUGCUCAUGAUGAGACCAUAGGAAAUUUACUUAUGACUUUGAACGUAUUUGACCCUCACCCUCCACCUUACGCUGCUGUGGUUCUUAUCGAAUUAAGGAUGAACUCAAAAAAUCAGUAUUUUGUGACAGUUUCUUAUAAAAAUACGACAGAGGAACCAAUCCUUAUGACAUUACCGGGCUGCGAUACGUUAUGCCCUUUAAAUGAAUUUAUUAAUUUGACGAAGGACGUAGUACCUGAAGAUUGGGAAAGAGAAUGUCAAAUAAGUCGAAAUGAGAUAAGUUCUAGCGAUGUCAUCGAAACAAGAAGCAAAUAAAGAAACAAAAAGGAUUGAUAGUGGAAGGAUAGGAGCAUCAACAUUACGUAAUAUAUCCUUUAACAACGGCGAAGCUUUAUGAUGAGAUGCAGAAAGUAUGAGUCACGAGUCGAAUUACUCUUUAGCAACCAUUUAUCUUAAUUGAGCACAAAAAAUUACAUCGUAAAGCAAGUUUUGCAUUCUCAAUCAUUUUUCCGUUUUCACCAUAUUUUUUUCUUCAAUUGCAAAUCUCGGAAACAUACGAUCAUCUGCUACAAUAACGACACGAUGCAAAAAUUGUACUUUUAUCUUCUACAUAUUUUUAGUUUUUCUGUUAUUACACCAAAAUUGUAAGGAGAGGAAUGAAAUAGAAAUUAAGAAUUUAAGAAAGUGUAAAAUUUUGGAAGUUUUUUGUAAUCACUUAUGUGAAGGCAAAUAAAUAAAUACUA